GCUUAUACUCGACCAUCACCGGGACGUGCGAUGGCACGAGCUUUCGAGGUGCUAGUAGCAAAUACUCCAGCGAGGCCAUGGAGGACUGUCGAUGCCGUGGAGAAGGGUUUCGUGUUGCCGUUGCACACGAUAAUCAGUCGAUCCUGAGCCCUAGUUUUUACGAUAACGAAAGACGACGACGAACUAAAUGUUAAUUCGUCUCGAAAUAACGCGAGAGCACACAUCCGGUUCUUAUUCAGGGAACUUGGCAGCGGAACCGUCAAAAAGGGGGGC
rnacentral:rRNA from 1 species